GUACAGUGGCGCACGGGUGAGUAACGCGUAGAUGAUCUACCCUUCAGUCUGGGACAACUCUUGGAAACGGGAGCUAAUACCGGAUAAAACCUUCGGGUUGAAAGAUUUAUCGCUGGGGGAUGAGUCUGCGUACCAUUAGCUUGUUGGUGGGGUAACGGCCUACCAAGGCGACGAUGGUUAGCGGGUCUGAGAGGACGAUCCGCCACACUGGAACUGAGACACGGUCCAGACUCCUACGGGAGGCAGCAGUAGGGAAUAUUGCGCAAUGGGGGCAACCCUGACGCAGCAAUGCCGCGUGAGUGAAGAAGGCCUUCGGGUCGUAAAGCUCUUUUAUGGGGGAAGAUGAUGACGGUACCCCAUGAAUAAGCACCGGCUAACUACGUGCCAGCAGCCGCGGUAAUACGUAGGGUGCGAGCGUUGUUCGGAAUUACUGGGCGUAAAGGGCGUGCAGGCGGAUUGGCAAGCCGGAGGUGAAAGCCCGGGGCUCAACCCCGGAGGGUCUUUCGGAACUGCCAGUCUUGAGAGGGUCAGGGGCCAGCGGAAUUCCUGGUGUAGAGGUGAAAUUCGUAGAGAUCAGGAGGAACACCGGCGGCGAAAGCGGCUGGCUGGGGCCACUCUGACGCUGAGGCGCGAAAGCGUGGGGAGCAAACAGGAUUAGAUACCCUGGUAGUCCACGCCGU
rnacentral:rRNA from 1 species